UACGUAGGGGGCUAGCGUUGUCCGGAUUUAUUGGGCGUAAAGAGCUCGUAGGCGGCUUGUUGCGUCGGCUGUGAAAUCCCGUGGCUUAACUGCGGGCUUGCAGCUGAUACGGGCGGGCUGGAGUUCGGUAGGGGAGACUGGAAUUCCUGGUGUAGCGGUGAAAUGCGCAGAUAUCAGGAGGAACACCGGUGGCGAAGGCGGGUCUCUGGGCCGAUACUGACGCUGAGGAGCGAAAGCGUGGGGAGCGAACAGG
rnacentral:rRNA from 1 species